rnacentral:rRNA from 1 species
GACGAACGCUGGCGGCGUGCUUAACACAUGCAAGUCGAACGGAAAGGCCCUGCUUUUGUGGGGUGCUCGAGUGGCGAACGGGUGAGUAACACGUGAGUAACCUGCCCUUGACUUUGGGAUAACUUCAGGAAACUGGGGCUAAUACCGGAUAGGAGCUCCUGCUGCAUGGUGGGGGUUGGAAAGUUUCGGCGGUUGGGGAUGGACUCGCGGCUUAUCAGCUUGUUGGUGGGGUAGUGGCUUACCAAGGCUUUGACGGGUAGCCGGCCUGAGAGGGUGACCGGCCACAUUGGGACUGAGAUACGGCCCAGACUCCUACGGGAGGCAGCAGUGGGGAAUAUUGGACCAUGGGCGGAAGCCUGAUGCAGCAACGCCGCGUGCGGGAUGACGGCCUUCGGGUUGUAAACCGCUUUCGCCUGUGACGAAGCGUGAGUGACGGUAAUGGGUAAAGAAGCACCGGCUAACUACGUG